rnacentral:rRNA from 1 species
AGUGAACGCUGGCGGUAGGCCUAACACAUGCAAGUCGAACGGCAGCACAGUAAGAGCUUGCUCUUACGGGUGGCGAGUGGCGGACGGGUGAGGAAUACAUCGGAAUCUACUUUUUCGUGGGGGAUAACGUAGGGAAACUUACGCUAAUACCGCAUACGACCUACGGGUGAAAGCAGGGGAUCUUCGGACCUUGCGCGAUUGAAUGAGGCGAUGUCGGAUUAGCUAGUUGGCGGGGUAAAGGCCCACCAAGGCGACGAUCCGUAGCUGGUCUGAGAGGAUGAUCAGCCACACUGGAACUGAGACACGGUCCAGACUCCUACGGGAGGCAGCAGUGGGGAAUAUUGGACAAUGGGCGCAAGCCUGAUCCAGCCAUACCGCGUGGGUGAAGAAGGCCUUCGGGUUGUAAAGCCCUUUUGUUGGGAAAGAAAAGCAGCAGGUUAAUACCCCGCUGUUCUGACGGUACCCAAAGAAUAAGCACCGGCUAACUUCGUG